UACGUAGGGGGCUAGCGUUGUCCGGAUUUAUUGGGCGUAAAGAGCGUGUAGGCGGCCAUGUAGGUCCGGUGUGAAAACUCGAGGCUUAACCUCGAGAUGUCAUCGGAAACCAUUUGGCUAGAGUCCGGAAGAGGAGAGUGGAAUUCCUGGUGUAGCGGGGAAAUGCGCAGAUAUCAGGAAGAACACCAAUGGCGAAAGCAGCUCUCUGGGACGGUACUGACGCUGAGACGCGAAAGCGUGGGGAGCGAACAGG
rnacentral:rRNA from 1 species